UACAGAGGUCUCAAAGCGUUUGUUCGGAUUCAUUGGGGCGUAAAGGGUCCGGUAGGCGGUGUGGCAAGGUCGGGAGUGAAAUCUCCUGGGCUCAACUCAGAGACUGCUUCCGAAACUGCUGUGCUGGAGUGUGGGAGAGGCGCGUGGAAUUGCAGGUCGUAGCGGUGAAAUGCGUAGAUAUCUGCAGGAACACCCGUGGCGAAAGCGGCGCGCUGGACCACUACUGACGCGAGGAACGAAAGCUAGGGGAGCAAACAGG
rnacentral:rRNA from 1 species